rnacentral:rRNA from 1 species
UACGUAGGGGGCAAGCGUUGUCCGUAUUUAUUGGGCGUAAAGAGCGUGUAGGCGGCCAUGUAGGUCCGUUGUGAAAACUCGAGGCUCAACCUCGAGACGCCGAUGGAAACCAUGUGGCUAGAGUCCGGAAGAGGAGAGUGGAAUUCCUGGUGUAGCGGUGAAAUGCGCAGAUAUCAGGAGGAACACCGGUGGCGAAGGCGGGUCUCUGGGCAACAACUGACGCUGAGGAGCGAAAGCGUGGGGAGCGAACAGG